rnacentral:lncRNA from 1 species
AGGGGGAAGAUCUACGCAUAGCGGACGUAACUAUUGAUGAUCAAAUGAAUGAUCCUGAACACCUACCUACGUCAGACAUAACCCCACCGUGUCCUCGAUCGGAGUAGGAACUCACGAAAGAGACGGUCACGGUUACGCACACAGUUGGCAUAUUUUAAUUAAGUUAACUUCAAGUUAUCUAGAACCAGUGUUAAACAAAGUUUCCACGUUGCCACAUAACCGCGGGCAUGGCUUUCCGAAAAGGUUUAACCCUGCAGGGGUGCUCCAACUAGUCCAUCACAAAUUACCACAAGCCGCAUAGAAAUCCUCAAUCACGAAGCUCGCGAUCUCGUCGGAUUCCCUAGUGGAAAACCUCAACUCUGAGAUUACCCAAAGCAUCACCGGAAUCCCGAUGCACAAGAUAUCUCGUCAAAGGUAAAACUACUCCAGCAAGGCCACCCGGUGUGUCGACGAACCCGAUAGGAGCCGCGUAUCUCGUUCUCGGGACACACCGUCUAUGCA